GGAUUCCUGGGGUUUAAGGGUGCGUAGGCGGUUAUUUAAGUCAGAGGUGAAAUCCUGGAGCUUAACUCUAGAACUGCCUUUGAUACUGCUUAUCUUGAGUGUGGUGGAGGUGAGCGGAAUUCGUCGUGUAGCGGUGAAAUGCUUAGAUAUGUGGAAGAACACCUAUGGCGAAGGCAGCUUACUGGGCUGAUAUUGACGCUGAGGCACGAAAGCGUGGGGAUCAAACAGGAUUAGAUACCCUGGUAGUCCACGCCCUAAACGAUGGAUACUCGUGUAGGCGAUACUCUGUGUGUGUCUGAGCGAAAGCAUUAAUAUCCCACCUGGGAGAGUACGACCGCACGGUAUGUAAAGCAUCACAGGAGUUG
rnacentral:rRNA from 1 species